GCCUGACAAUAGCUCAGUUGGUUAGAGUGUGGUGCUGAUAAUGCCAAGGUUGCAGGUUCAGUCCUCGUAUCGGACA